AAUAAAAAUAAAAUCUUUUUUUUAAUUGUUUACAUGUUCCAGAAGUGUUAAUAGGAAUGUAUGUCUGAUGUACCAUGUUUGGCGUUAUUUCUGUACCCCCAUUGUCAUUUGGUGCUGUAGAAAAUUAUUUUCAUAGUCACCCUAAAUUCUUUUUCCUUAUUCAAAUUUUCCUUUUUCCUAGAACAAAUUGGUCAGGAGAUGCUGGAAAACCUCAGUCAUGACAGAGAAAAAAUACAGCGAGCACGUGAAAGACUUCGGGAAACAGAUGCCAACUUAGGGAAAAGCUCCAGGAUCCUGACAGGGAUGUUGCGAAGGUAAGAGCAAGGUAGGGACCUGCCUUCCUCUCUUUCUUUAACUAUGUUUUUCAUCAGAUUGUAAUGAAACGUUUUAUGGGCUUGAUAGCACCUGCUCUUAUCACCAUGCACCUUGAGCCUUUGAGCUAAGAGGGCUACUAACUUGCUUGAACAGGGACACAUGCAGAGAAUCUCUGAAAAGCUCGGAUUAGAGAGAAGGCCUGAGCUAAAGUGGUCACCCCAAGCUAUGGAAAAAAUUAGGGUUAGACAUGAAAUAGUUUUUCAUCACCUUGGGAUGGCCCCAUGGCAGGAUUUUGCUUUUUGUUUUCAUAACCUCCUUUGAUGGAGUGAGUGCAGACCUACCAUUAUCAGAAGCACACUUGGCAUUAGCCUUGCUCUUUCUGUUGCCUUUGUUCUCAUUUCUUUAUGGGCACUGUUUGGGGAAACAUUUACAUUCAAUGUAUUUACUUAAUCAUGGCUUCUAAAGCAUAAAGGUUAUCUGAAUAAUCUAAGUUCGUAUGUGCUAGCAAAUGUGUUUACAUUAUAGAUAACCUUUGCUUGAUGGACAAUACUCAGGAUACUAUGAUAAAAAAUUGAGUAUAUGCAUAAGAUUCUACAUCAUUAUAUUCUGCACAAAAUUAUUGUACAUUCAGAAUCUACCAAAUAAGAUUAUCAUCUAGCACUACAACAACAGUUUGGAUCUAUGAAUGGGAAGGUCAAUGAGGAAUGUUUAGACUGACUAUAGUCAGUCUAAUUUGCAGUUUUAAAGAAGGAAAUCUUCUGUAUAUAGAGACAGCUAUUUAAAAUCAAAGUCUUCUCUAAUCAUGUAUAAUAAUUUGCAAAAAAAAAAAUGUGCUCACUAUUUUAGAGAUUUACUGCAUAAAAACUGAUCAGAUGCAUUAUUGCAACUGAUGUACAUCCUCUCCCAGCCGGAUUGGUAUGGAGCCUUAAGCUCCCAGGACCCUUCCAACCAAGGUGACCUCAGUCUCCAUCACCCCCACAAUUCCAGGACGCAGGUUCCUAACUCAGGACCUUUCACCACCAGCUUAUUUGAUUAACCGUAAGAUAUAACCGACCUAAGAAAAACUCAGAACCCAUAGACAAAGAAAGUGGCAAUUGAAAAUAUUGCUUCACUGCAAAAAGACAAUAAAAAAAUAAACAGAAGUGGGGUGGGGGUGGGCUAUCACUUCCCUAGGAGGGCUCUUGCAGCCGAGCUGUAACAAAUACCCUGCCUAUCUCUCCAUUUUGUCAAACCUCAUUAAAGAACCCCCUGCUUUAUGCCAACCGAGCUGUCCAGAAAUCAUUCAUCAUUUUUAGUGUAAAAAAAAAUCAUCUGGUUAUUUAAAUAAUAUCAUAUUAAUGUUAAAGUUCAGCUGUCAUCUAAUGGUAUGGCUUAAUCAGAUGUAGCAUUUAGGAAAAAUAGUUCAUUCCAGCUCUACAUGGCUUUCAGGUUGGCAGACUCAAAUAAGGAUUUAUGGGCUUCUAAACCAAUGGAUUUCUGUCUAUGUUUCUGCUUGAUGUACCUCACCCUUCAGUGCAGGACACUGCAGACAGUUAUUCCAACAAAUAAAGCAUCUCCUCAUAUUGUGUUUGAAUAAAUUUGCAAGUCAUUUAGAGAGCGUGAAGCACAAACAACUUAUGAAACCUUUGACUGGGGCUUUCUGUAGGAAAAUCAUUUGAACACUGUCCUUUCAGAAACCCACAGAAGAAGGCUGCUCGGUGAGAUCUGUUUGGGGUUCUCUUUGUAGUGCCCUCACGUUCUCUGGCCCAUCUCCUUUUGGGAUAUUUCUUGAGUAUGAACCCCGGGAUGGUUGUGUCUUAGCCAAGGCAACCCUCAAGUCUACAUGGGAGUGUGUCUGCCAGCCAGUUGUAGCUGGGAUUUUGGUAUCAGCAAUAAUUUGCAGAUACUUUUCAUCAGUUCUAUAACCUAACUCGGUCAGUGGAAGCCAAAUGUAGGUGGUAACUUUGUUUUUGUUCCUGUUUAUUAUAUACAUGUUUUGCAUGUUAUUUUGAAUGUAAUUUAAAAGGCAGGAGCAUUUUACCAGCCUCUUAACUUUGUUAUUUUGGGUUAUUUCCUGGAAUGGCAGUGUAGAGGAAAGGAACUAGGGUUGAAGCCCUGAAGUCUUAACUUUUACUACUAUGAUUUUACAUCUUCUGUAACGCCCUUCCAGUUCACACGGAAGUUCAUCAUUUGCCUCCAAUGAUCUGGAGCCAUUGUUUCAGACAAAAGAAGGCGUGUCUUCAUACUCAUGUUCUUACCAAAGCUGUGUGGCUGUGUCUUGUGUGAGCAGGUUCCUCGGGUUUAGGAAACAUUGUGAUAUUGUACCGUCUGCUCAUCUCUCCCCUUCACAAAUAUAUGAAAGAAAUGGAUGUCCUCUGUGAGUAGGUUUAUCUGCAUAACAUAAGGUUACUUGUUUUUCUUGAUGGGUUCUGUGUGAUGGUAAAUACUUAGUCUAUAGUAUAUCAAAGAGUUGCUUCUUCUAAAAGAAAGAUUAUAGGUUGUUUUUAGUCUGCUAAACUUAAAUCAGUUUUAAAUUUUUGAGACAAAUAAACACUGUGUGGCCAAACAUAGUGUGGCCUGCUUUGUGACAUGUUCUGAAGACAGAUGUGAGAUCACUCAGCCGCAAGUACCAGUGUAGUACUGUUAGUCCACUUGUCAUCUCCUAGACGUCAAAGCAUGUGGGGAAGCAAAAAGGAGUAAACAAGAAAUACAAAUAUUAACUUUAUAAAAUCAAAUAUACUAAAUAAUAAUCUGCUACUCAAGAAUUUUAUCCUUUACAAGGUUAAAAUGAGGUAGAAAUCUUCCCCUUCCUUCUUUUCUUCCUCUUCUUCCCUUUUUCCCUCCUUCCACUCCUCCUCCCACCACUCUUUCCCCCUUUCGUUUUCUUUCUUCUGCUUAUUCAUUAAAUAUUUAGUGUCUGUGUACCAGGGCUGGGGAUCCUGAAAUGAAACCAAUUUCAUCCUUGUCUUCAGAGUGCUUCACUGUAAGAGAGAAUGUGCAGAUAAGACCCAACUGUGACAAUUCACAGAAGCAUCUCAUUCUCGGGGACGCUAUUAAAGAUUCCGCAGCGCUGACUAAUCCUUGCCAAUCCCUAAAAAAAGAAACGAGGAAAACAUAUAGCCAUUAGAAAACGUGUUUUAAAUCACCAAAAAACCAAUAUGUUGGAGAAAAAUUAGGGAAACAAGUUUUGAAGGAACUAAAGUAAUCAGAAAACAUUGAAAAAAAAUCAUUCUUUAAAUGAGCUACACUAUAAAACCAAAAGAAUGAAAACAAGAGAAAAAUCAGUGCAUUCAAAAUUGUGAUAGAAAAAGGUGCCAUCAGAACACAGUCAAGCUGAUCUUUCCUGGAACUGUUGUCUUGUCUGUCUUGACAUAAGAUGGAGAGCUGCUUUGGGACCGGGACGUGCUACUUGUUUCCUGACUCCACAGGUUCAUAAAGGAGACUACAGCUAAGCAUGAAAAUGGUCCUGAAACAAAUGACCAUUCAUAUGCUAACUGGCACCAAGAAAUGGAUUUUUCAUUAAAUUCACAUUUGGUUAUUGUAAUUGGUUGUCUUCACGUGCGCCAAGUGUCACUGGGAAGCUUAAAUGUCUCUUUCCUCAUACUUGAGUGUUUGUUUCUGUGGGUUUUUGUUCUUGUUUUUUGCUUAGCAGUGUGCCUGGGAUGUCUUAUCUUAGCAUAAA